AAAACACACACUCUCUAUAGUAAGCUCCUAACAUAAAAACAAAUAUACAGAACCCCACUUCACAAAACUUUCUCCAAAUCAACCAUCUAUGAGAUACAACUUUUGCCUUUUGCUUUUUCCUCUUUCCAGUUAUUGAACACUUUGAAUUCCUAAAAGUGGAAACCCUAAAGUGAAAAAAGAAUAUGAAAAUUGUAGAGUAUGAAGACUGAAGAGAAAAAGCCAGCUAAGCUUUACUACAACAAUGGUGUUUACUUUCUUUUUUGUUAUCUUUAUUGUGGGUGG
rnacentral:misc_RNA from 1 species